CAGAGUUGCAAAACUCCACAAACCAUCGCGAAUCUUACCCGUACGGUUGCCUCGGCGCUGGCGGUCCGGAAGGCCCUCGGGCCCCCCGGAUCCUCGGGUCUCCCGCUCGCGGGAGGCUGCCCGCCGGAGUGCCGAAACCAAACUCUUGAUAUUUUAUGUCUCUCUGAGUAAACUUUUAAAUAAGUCA
rnacentral:misc_RNA from 1 species